CACGAAGUUGGAAUUGCUAGUAAUCGUGGAUCAGCAUGCCACGGUGAAUACGUUCCCGGGUCUUGUACACACCGCCCGUCACACCAUGGGAGCCGGUAAUACCCGAAGUCAGUAGUCUAACCGCAAGGAGGACGCUGCCGAAGGUAGGAUUGGCGACUGGGGUGAAGUCGUAACAAGGUAAC
rnacentral:rRNA from 1 species